UGUCAUAAGUGCGGACGCUAUAAUACUGAACUAAUUUUUUUGUGUAUCCUCUGCUUUCUGAUAGGGUUUGACGCAUGGACAUUCCAAAUACAGAACUCAGACCAGGCAGCUGAAGGAGUAGAGAAUAAUUAUCAAUACUGCUGUACCGUAUACAAUUUCUGAGGCUUGUUGUAAAAUGGUGGAUAAUGGAGGGAUGUGAUCAGACUAGCAAUUGAGAAACUUGGCAUGGUACAGAGACGAUGAUUGCCUCCACCUGACGACCAAAUGCAAUGCCUACUUGACACAUAAACAAGAUCCAAACCUGGCCGGAUGGGUUCCGAUGGAGCUGGACCAGGCUGCUGCUGCAGAAAUGAAUGCCACUUUUAUUGAGAACCUACGUACGCCGUAAUGUGUUGUUAAAGGAUGGGGCUGGUGAAGCCUGUCAAUACCAGAAUAACAGAUCCCCGAUAUUUCCUGAAUAUGCCACGCCAAGCUGCUGAUAUUUUGCAUAAAUUUGGCAGCUCAAACCCAUAACUACAAAUGGACAUCUUUCACUGGCAGAUAACGGAUGGGAAUUGUACACAAAACAUCAAAACCUGCACAAACUCAGAUACAGGAUGUAAAGAUUGGACCUGUGUGCAGACCCACUGAGCUGGAGCUUCUUGCCAGGCUGGCAGAGAGUUGGAGAGGGGAGCCUUGAUCUGACGGAUAAGCUUGUGCUGGAACCGGUGUGUAUUUAUUGCACAGGUCUCUGAUCGGAAUGAGCCUGACAGCCAGGGAGAAGUGAACUUCCAGUAUCUGUUGAGCCUGCUGGAGGAGAUGGGGUGCCAGGGUUGCAUUGGCUGUGAGUAAAGAUUCCAUGCUCAGUAAUUGAAAUUAAGAAUGCAUAGUGAAGACCCGAGCCGAGCCGCUGUGAUAAACACAAGGCAGGAAGGGGACUGGAGUAACACAGAAGACAGGCUUGGCUGGUUGAGAGUACUGGAACAUCCACAAGUGAAGGGGAAGAGUUCUGUUUGACAUACCUGGACACCAAACUCAGCCCUGUGAUUCAGCCUUUACCGGAAGCCAAACAGUGAUGCCAUUAUGGGUAGAAGUAACAGAGCAGAGCCACAAAUCUUGUAUCUAUGGUAGCUGACAAAAGUUAUUUACACUUUGAUUUAUCAGCACCUGAAGAAUGAUUAAUCUGCUUCUGCCUUGUCUGUCUUUGCUGGAGUUUAGUAUUAGGUGAUUGGUUGUACAUUAUUAACUUCCACACAUUUAUUAGUCGUGUUGAUCAGUAGUGACACUUUAGAGAGAGGUCACGGAUACCCAAAAUAGACAUGAAUGACCACAUCAGUGGUCCAUUAGUAAUGGAACUAUAGGAUAAAUAUACAGAUAUACGUUGAGGUUAUUGAUGUCCUCAAGAUAACCUUGUAAUGUUUCCAUAGCCGCAGGAGUGAUACAAACAGUGAUUUCACAGGAAUGAUGUAUCGCUGAUAAGGAGUAAUAACACUGUGACGGCACUGAUGGCGAGGAAGAUGGCUUCCCCAAGGACCUCAAGAUACAUGCCCAUGAUAAACCUGCAUACUGUUAAACCCAGGGGCAGGCAGUGACUGGUAGAGGCUAUCUGUAGCUGCUCCAGUCCUGCUGCUGGCUGCAGAUUAUUCUGUUAUUAGAUAGGGGAUUGGGGUCCCCAGGAUGGAACAAAAAUAAGUAAAUUCAGUCUUUAACAUGCCAUUUAUACAUUAGUAAACAGCAUGAAACAUUGCUACAUGAAAGCUGAAGGUGCACUGCUGUGGUGACAAACAUUCUAAGCUGGACUACACAUUGUAAAACAAGACACCAUGUUUCAAUCGUUUCCUGUCAAAUGGAAUAAAACGCAAUGUGUACCUAAAGAUCGUUCUAUUCUUAUUUGAUUUUUUACAGCGAGUGUGGCCGUGCUUAGAACAUAUUGAUCUAUUCCUAAGGAGUAUGGCUUUCUCCAACCAUCAGGGUCCUCCAUUUGACUUUGAAUUUUCUGAGUGUGCAACAGUUGCAAUGCAGCUACAAUAAAUACUGAAAUGAAAGCUUAUGAUGUGUUGAUGUCAUGCUCAGCACACAAUCCUUUUUACAGAAAACCUAGAGCUCUUUUAAAAGGUGUCCAUUAUCUGAUGGACAGCCUCACAAUCAUCAUA